ACGACUGUAAAGAUGUCGUUAAAAAUGGACACAAUGGAAGUGGUUUGUAUGACCUUAGUUUACCAAAUGGUAAGCAACUUACAGCUUAUUGUGACCUACAAAAAGAUGGAGGUGGAUGGAUUGUUAUACAGAGGCGGAUUGAUGGUAAACAGAGCUAUAAUCAGAAUUGGACUCAAUAUAAAUCAGGGUUUGGAAAUCCUUUACAUGAAUUCUGGAUAGGCAAUGAAAACCUUCAUGCUUUAACGGAUGGGAAAGAUGUAAUUUUACACAUCCAGAUGACGACAUGGGAAGGGAAAAACUAUACGGCGGUUUAUAGUGGUUUUCAUGUAGGGAACGAGCAAGAGAAGUACAAAUUGAAUAUACAGCAAAUGAUUUCUGGUGAUGCAGGUGAUUCAUUUAAAUAUCCAUCAUCUUAUAUGUUAAGACACAAUAACAUGGCUUUUAGUACACCAGAUCGUGACAAUGAUGUCAGCUUUCAGAACUGUGCCCAGUUACUCCAGUCUGGUUGGUGGUUUAACAUGUGUUACAGUUCGAAUUUAAAUGGGUUAUAUUUGAGUGGACCAUAUGGUCACAGAUAUUAUGGUGAAUAUUUUGGACAGCCAACAACAGAAGGCACAGGAAUAGAGUGGUAUCCCCUGAAACAGUACUCACUGAAAUAUGCUGAAAUGAAAAUCAGAGCAAAACAAAUUUUAUUUCU